rnacentral:rRNA from 1 species
ACUAAGCGUACACGGUGGAUGCCCUGGCAGUCAGAGGCGAUGAAGGACGUGCUAAUCUGCGAUAAGCGUCGGUAAGGUGAUAUGAACCGUUAUAACCGGCGAUUUCCGAAUGGGGAAACCCAGUGUGAUUCGUCACACUAUCAUUAACUGAAUCCAUAGGUUAAUGAGGCGAACCGGGGGAACUGAAACAUCUAAGUACCCCGAGGAAAAGAAAUCAACCGAGAUUCCCCCAGUAGCGGCGAGCGAACGGGGAGCAGCCCAGAGCCUGAAUCAGUGUGUGUGUUAGUGGAAGCGUCUGGAAAGGCGCGCGAUACAGGGUGACAGCCCCGUACACAAAAAUGCACAUGCUGUGAGCUCGAUGAGUAGGGCGGGACACGUGGUAUCCUGUCUGAAUAUGGGGGGACCAUCCUCCAAGGCUAAAUACUCCUGACUGACCGAUAGUGAACCAGUACCGUGAGGGAAAGGCGAAAAGAACCCCGGCGAGGGGAGUGAAAAAGAACCUGAAACCGUGUACGUACAAGCAGUGGGAGCACAGAGCAAUCUGUGUGACUGCGUACCUUUUGUAUAAUGGGUCAGCGACUUAUAUUCUGUAGCAAGGUUAACCGAAUAGGGGAGCCGAAGGGAAACCGAGUCUUAACUGGGCGUUAAGUUGCAGGGUAUAGACCCGAAACCCGGUGAUCUAGCCAUGGGCAGGUUGAAGGUUGGGUAACACUAACUGGAGGACCGAACCGACUAAUGUUGAAAAAUUAGCGGAUGACUUGUGGCUGGGGGUGAAAGGCCAAUCAAACCGGGAGAUAGCUGGUUCUCCCCGAAAGCUAUUUAGGUAGCGCCUCGUGAAUUCAUCUCCGGGGGUAGAGCACUGUUUCGGCAAGGGGGUCAUCCCGACUUACCAACCCGAUGCAAACUGCGAAUACCGGAGAAUGUUAUCACGGGAGACACACGGCGGGUGCUAACGUCCGUCGUGAAGAGGGAAACAACCCAGACCGCCAGCUAAGGUCCCAAAGUCAUGGUUAAGUGGGAAACGAUGUGGGAAGGCCCAGACAGCCAGGAUGUUGGCUUAGAAGCAGCCAUCAUUUAAAGAAAGCGUAAUAGCUCACUGGUCGAGUCGGCCUGCGCGGAAGAUGUAACGGGGCUAAACCAUGCACCGAAGCUGCGGCAGCGACGCUGAUGCGUUGUUGGGUAGGGGAGCGUUCUGUAAGCCUGCGAAGGUGUGCUGUGAGGCAUGCUGGAGGUAUCAGAAGUGCGAAUGCUGACAUAAGUAACGAUAAAGCGGGUGAAAAGCCCGCUCGCCGGAAGACCAAGGGUUCCUGUCCAACGUUAAUCGGGGCAGGGUGAGUCGACCCCUAAGGCGAGGCCGAAAGGCGUAGUCGAUGGGAAACAGGUUAAUAUUCCUGUACUUGGUGUUACUGCGAAGGGGGGACGGAGAAGGCUAUGUUGGCCGGGCGACGGUUGUCCCGGUUUAAGCGUGUAGGCUGGUUUUCCAGGCAAAUCCGGAAAAUCAAGGCUGAGGCGUGAUGACGAGGCACUACGGUGCUGAAGCAACAAAUGCCCUGCUUCCAGGAAAAGCCUCUAAGCAUCAGGUAACAUCAAAUCGUACCCCAAACCGACACAGGUGGUCAGGUAGAGAAUACCAAGGCGCUUGAGAGAACUCGGGUGAAGGAACUAGGCAAAAUGGUGCCGUAACUUCGGGAGAAGGCACGCUGAUAUGUAGGUGAAGCGACUUGCUCGUGGAGCUGAAAUCAGUCGAAGAUACCAGCUGGCUGCAACUGUUUAUUAAAAACACAGCACUGUGCAAACACGAAAGUGGACGUAUACGGUGUGACGCCUGCCCGGUGCCGGAAGGUUAAUUGAUGGGGUCAGCGCAAGCGAAGCUCUUGAUCGAAGCCCCGGUAAACGGCGGCCGUAACUAUAACGGUCCUAAGGUAGCGAAAUUCCUUGUCGGGUAAGUUCCGACCUGCACGAAUGGCGUAAUGAUGGCCAGGCUGUCUCCACCCGAGACUCAGUGAAAUUGAACUCGCUGUGAAGAUGCAGUGUACCCGCGGCAAGACGGAAAGACCCCGUGAACCUUUACUAUAGCUUGACACUGAACAUUGAGCCUUGAUGUGUAGGAUAGGUGGGAGGCUUUGAAGUGUGGACGCCAGUCUGCAUGGAGCCGACCUUGAAAUACCACCCUUUAAUGUUUGAUGUUCUAACGUGGACCCGUAAUCCGGGUUGCGGACAGUGUCUGGUGGGUAGUUUGACUGGGGCGGUCUCCUCCUAAAGAGUAACGGAGGAGCACGAAGGUUGGCUAAUCCUGGUCGGACAUCAGGAGGUUAGUGCAAUGGCAUAAGCCAGCUUGACUGCGAGCGUGACGGCGCGAGCAGGUGCGAAAGCAGGUCAUAGUGAUCCGGUGGUUCUGAAUGGAAGGGCCAUCGCUCAACGGAUAAAAGGUACUCCGGGGAUAACAGGCUGAUACCGCCCAAGAGUUCAUAUCGACGGCGGUGUUUGGCACCUCGAUGUCGGCUCAUCACAUCCUGGGGCUGAAGUAGGUCCCAAGGGUAUGGCUGUUCGCCAUUUAAAGUGGUACGCGAGCUGGGUUUAGAACGUCGUGAGACAGUUCGGUCCCUAUCUGCCGUGGGCGCUGGAGAAUUGAGGGGGGCUGCUCCUAGUACGAGAGGACCGGAGUGGACGCAUCACUGGUGUUCGGGUUGUCAUGCCAAUGGCACUGCCCGGUAGCUAAAUGCGGAAGAGAUAAGUGCUGAAAGCAUCUAAGCACGAAACUUGCCCCGAGAUGAGUUCUCCCUGACUCCUUGAGAGUCCUGAAGGAACGUUGAAGACGACGACGUUGAUAGGCCGGGUGUGUAAGCGCAGCGAUGCGUUGAGCUAACCGGUACUAAUGAACCGUGAGGCUUAACC